rnacentral:rRNA from 1 species
UAUCUCGAAAAUAAAAGAUUUAAAUAAUUUUUUUAGUUUUUGUAUCAGUAAAAUUAAUUAAAUAUUAUUUAGGGGUGAAAUGCUAAUCGAUUUUAUUAAUAUCUAGUAACUUUGGAAAUAAAUUUAGUUUAGAAUAUUAAGGGUUUCUUAAUUUUUAUAUAUUUUUAUAUUUUAGGGGAUGAGCUCUAAAAUAAAUUUACAAGAAUUUAUUAAUAAGUUUUUUUAUUAAGCUUAGAACUAGCUAUGGGAUAAUGUUAUAAAACAAGAGUUUAAGUUUAUGAUUUAGUUUUCUUUUGUAAAGACAAAGUUAUUAAAAAUAAUGAUAUUUUUUAAGAAGUAAUGAUAAUAUUAGUAGAAAAUAAUUUAAAAUUUCCUUAAUAAGUAUAUAUAAAAUGGAUAUAAUAAAAGAAUUCGGCAAAUUGGAUUUCCGAAUGUUUAACAAAAACAUUUCUUCUUAGGAUGAGAAGUAAGGCCUGCUCACUGAGUAUUUAAAGAGCCGCAGUAUUUUGACUGUGCUAAGGUAGCAUAAUCAUUAGUCUUUUAAUUAAGGACUGGUAUGAAGGGUUAAACGAGAAAUCAACUUUUUUUAUUAUAUAAAUUGAAUUUAACUUUUUAGUGAAAAGGCUAAAAUAAUUUAGAAAGACGAGAAGACCCUAUAGAGUUUUAUAUAGAAAGAAUUUAUAUUUUAUUAUAUUUGUUAGAAAAUAUAAAUUUGUAGUGUAUUUUGUUGGGGCGACAUUAAGAUAAGAAAAACUCUUUAUUUAUUAAACUUUAAUAAAAGAAUAAGAUUGAUCCUUUAAAAGAGAUCAUAAGAAAAAAUUACCUUAGGGAUAACAGCGUAAUCUUUUUUGAGAGUUCUAAUCGACAAAAAGGUUUGCGACCU